rnacentral:rRNA from 1 species
UGGGGAAUUUUGGACAAUGGGCGAAAGCCUGAUCCAGCAAUGCCGCGUGUGUGAAGAAGGCCUUCGGGUUGUAAAGCACUUUUGUCCGGAAAGAAAUCCUUGGCUCUAAUACAGUCGGGGGAUGACGGUACCGGAAGAAUAAGCACCGGCUAACUACGUGCCAGCAGCCGCGGUAAUACGUAGGGUGCAAGCGUUAAUCGGAAUUACUGGGCGUAAAGCGUGCGCAGGCGGUUUGCUAAGACCGAUGUGAAAUCCCCGGGCUCAACCUGGGAACUGCAUUGGUGACUGGCAGGCUAGAGUAUGGCAGAGGGGGGUAGAAUUCCACGUGUAGCAGUGAAAUGCGUAGAGAUGUGGAGGAAUACCGAUGGCGAAGGCAGCCCCUGGGCAAUACUGACGCUCAUGCACGAAAAGCGUGGGGAGCAAACAGGAUUAAUACCCUGGUAGUCCACGCCCUAAACGAUGUCAACUAGUUGUU